AUCACGCACACGAUUCCUUUGUCCUCGGCACGCACGAAGACGCCACGCUGUUGCUGCUACUCCUCACCUCGCCCUUAGAUCGGAAUUGAAGUCGUUGCGGAGGGAUGGAGGCACGCAUGCAUCGUGACCUAGGCAGACGAGCCACCAGGAGGGGAUCCGUGCCGGAUGGCUGCGGACGCGCCUCUCCCUUGAUCCCCUUUCAUCUCGAUGGCGGGACAGCAAGGCACGGCGGUGGCCGGUGGUGGACGAGACAUUCAGCCUUUUCAGCUAUGCAGUCGACCAUCAAGUAUUGACUGUCAUAACUUCAGGUUACUUUGAUAAACUGAUUUCUGCACAAUGGUACUGAUGUGCAGUGUACUCGACGUAGAGUGGUGUUUUCAUAUUGCUGGCAUAGGAGUACUAUCAAUGCGAGCUUCAGUUACAAUGGCAACAUAUGACCGAAUGUCCAUGUAUCGAAAUGUAUGUUAUAGCUGAUAUUAAGAGCAACUGUCCAAUAUUAUUUGUUGUAUAUUCUGAUCUAUGAUCAAAAUUUGUAUUGUGGGCAACAACACGACAACGCUACUGGUUGGGCUGAAGGAACUGGCAAAGUUGUUUAAUGGUGA